GUACAGCAAAGUGUUUUAUGCACCAUGUGAAGUGGAUGAGCUCCAUCAAUACAAAUACACCGUCCACACACACGUUUACUUUAAAGGCUCAUUUCUAUAUUCUAGAUACCUUCACUGUAAACAUAGACAGGUGACAUCAGGAUUUCUCCAUGUUCCGUGUUCCAUGUUCCGUGUUCCAUGUUCCAUGCUCCAUGUUCCAUGCUCCAUGUUCUGUGUUCUAUGCUCCAUGUUCCGUGUUCUAUGCUCCAUUCACCACAGCAUUAGAAACACAGUCUGAGGCACAUUUAGUCAGUUAGUUUCAAACUUCACAUCUACACACACUGAAGUUUUCCGGACAGAAACCUGCAGAAAGCGAUCGUGACGCCUCAGGAGUCUGAAGAGGAGAUGAAGACGCGUUCUGCUGCACUCAACAGAGCUCGAGACCAACAGGACGCCAUCAGGACGCCAUCAGGAUGCCAUCAGGACGCCAUGAGGACGUCACGCCAUAAGGACGCCAUCAGGACGCCAUAAGGACGCCAUCAGGAUGCCAUCAGGACGCCAUGAGGACGUCACGCCAUAAGGACGCCAUCAGGACGCCAUAAGGACGCCAUCAGGACGUGCUGAGAGUCGCCCCCUCAGGAGCAGCUCCAGAUCUACGCAUGACUCAGAUAAGCGGACAACACACACACACACGUACUCAGAGAAAAACUAAUAUUGAGAUGUACACGUAGAUCAUUAAUAUUUAGAUGUAUACAUAGAUCAUUAAUAUUGAGAUGUACACAUAGACACAUUAAUAUUGAGAUGUACACAUAGAUCAUUAAUAUUGAGAUGUACACAUAGAUCAUUAAUAUUGAGAUGUACACAUAUACACAUUAAUAUUGAGAUGUACACAUAGAUCAUUAAUAUUGAGAUGUACACAUAGAUCAUUAAUAUUGAGAUGUACACAUAUACACAUUAAUUUUGAGAUGUACACAUAGAUCAUUAAUAUUGAGAUGUUUACAUAGACACAUUAAUAUUUAGAUGUACACAUAGACACACUACCUGUAAGAGCCGAUUUAUGAUGUAUGGCAGCAUCUGAUUGAUGGGCGGGUCAGCCUAUAUAGGGUAGGAACCUUUGGGGGCUCGGCAGGUGUUUCUAGCCGGUAUAAGAAAAACAGUUUUGACUUUGAACGUAGAAACUAAGCAAACGCUUUAAGCCACUGAGGCAUUUUUUUCCGGAAACCCUCAUUGACGCGCCGCUGUUGUCUCAUGACGGAUGAAUGAGAGUCCUGUAGCCUUUGUGUUGUUGUAAACAAGUCCACUUAUUUGCCAAGUUUAGUCCUGUCACACGUUAACAUACAUCAUGGAUACAUGGGAGUGUGGAGGGGGAGAGAGAGGAGUGAUUAAAUAGAUAAAUGAGAUGUGUUGAGAAAUGCACUUUAAGAAAUAAGUUUUGGAAGUAUGUUCUAAGGAGGGCAGACAGACCUAAUAAUUGAGUCUGAGAGGUUAACAUAAACUCACAGACGCAUUGACUCCGGAAGGUUAGUAUAAACUUUCGGCAUAAAUUAAUUCUGCGAGGCUAACAUAAGCUCGUGGAAACAAACAUUUUCUCUGAAAGGUUAGUAUAAACUUUCAGAACAUAGCUGUCUGCCCGGGUAAAAUACAUACGAACUGGUUGACUGUUGUUAAAUGGAAGGCGAAUUUGAUGAAGAAGAGGAGGACGGCGGCUGGGAGCCGGCCUUAGAUCAUAAAUAUUUAGACACACCUUAACAUUUAGAUACCCAAAGAUCAUAACAAUUUAUAUGUACACAUAGAUUAUUAAUAUUGAGAUGUACACAUAGAUCAUUAAUAUUGAGAUGUUCACAUAGACACAUUAAUAUUGAGAUGUACACAUAGACACACUACCUGUAAGAGCCGAUUUAUGAUGUAUGGCAGCAUCUGAUUGAUGGGCGGGUCAGCCUAUAUAGGGUAGGAACCUUUGGGGGUUCGGCAGGUGUUUCUAGCCGGUAUAAGAAAAACAGUUUUGACUUUGAACGUAGAGACUAAGCAAACGCUUUAAGCCACUGAGGCAUUUUUUUCCGGAAACCCUCAUUGACGCGCCGCUGUUGACUCAUGACGGAUGAAUGAGAGUCCUGUAGCCUUUGUGUUGUUGUAAACAAGUCCACUUAUUUGCCAAUUUUAGUCCUGUCACACGUUUACCAUACAUCAUGGAUACAUGGGAGUGUGGAGGGGGAGAGAGAGGAGUGAUUAAAUAGAUAAAUGAGAUGUGUUGAGACAUGUACACAUAGAUCAUUAAUAUUGAGAUGUACACAUAGAUCAUUAAUAUUGAGAUGUACACAUAUACACAUUAAUAUUGAGAUGUAUACAUAUACACAUUAAUAUUGAGAUGUACACAUAGACACAUUAAUAUUGAGAUGUACACAUAGACACACUACCUGUAAGAGCCGAUUUAUGAUGUAUGGCAGCAUCUGAUUGAUGGGCGGGUCAGCCUAUAUAGGGUAGGAACCUUUGGGGGCUCGGCAGGUGUUUCUAGCCGGUAUAAGAAAAACAGUUUUGACUUUGAACGUAGAGACUAAGCAAACGCUUUAAGCCACUGAGGCAUUUUUUUCCGGAAACCCUCAUUGACGCGCCGCUGUUGUGUCAUGACGGAUGAAUGAGAGUCCUGUAGCCUUUUUGUUGUUGUAAACAAGUCCACUUAUUAUCUAUGUAUACUUAUAAGUUUAGUCC
ensembl:lncRNA